rnacentral:SRP_RNA from 1 species
GCCGGGUGUGGUGGCUCACGCCUGUAAUCCCAGCUACUUGGGAGGCUGAGGUGGGAGCAUCGUUUGAGCACGGGAGUUCCUGAUGAGCCUGGGAAACAUAGUGAGACCCCAUCUCUA